rnacentral:tRNA from 1 species
GCACCCGUAGCUCAAUUGGAUAGAGCAUCUGACUACGGAUCAGAAGGUUAGGGGUUCGACUCCCUUCGGGUGUA